GAAGAAACCCAAAAAGCUUACACUUUGGGAAAGCUUCAUUGAUCAUGUUGGAAUAUAUAUUGCGGAACAACUUAAUCAAUAUCCAAUCAUCCUGGCCAGAAAAAUUGCAAAAUCAAAAUCAUAUGCAGGAUUAACAAGCAGGUUUGCCACAACAAUUCAAAUCAAUCCUCCAUACUCACAGGUUGCUGCACUCAGAAAAUGGGCCACAUCAAAUGAACAAUUGCUGAUCGCAUACACCAAAAAGAGUAUAACUUCAACAGGUUCUCUUCAGCUUAUUCCUUUUGAAGAUGAGAUCAUAUCAAUUGCCAUUGGACAUCAACAUCUUCCGG